UACAUGGCUCAGUUGGUUAGAGCAUGGCGCUGAUAACGCCAAGGUUGCAGGUUCAAUCCCCAUAUGGGACAA
rnacentral:tRNA from 1 species